rnacentral:rRNA from 1 species
UACGUAGGGUCCAAGCGUUGUCCGGAUUUAUUGGGCGUAAAGAGCUCGUAGGCGGCUCAGUAAGUCGGAUGUGAAAACUCGGGGCUCAACCCCGAGACGCCAUUCGAUACUGCUGUGGCUUGAGUCUGGUAGGGGAACACGGAAUUCCUGGUGUAGCGGUGGAAUGCGCAGAUAUCAGGAGGAACACCGAUGGCGAAGGCGGCAUCCUGGACCAACACUGACACUGAGGAGCGAAAGCCAGGGGAGCAAACGGG